UCCCUCCCGGACGACAGGUUCAUACAAUAGUUGACCGGGAGGGAUGCCUCCUGGACGACUGAUACAUUCCUCCGGGAGGCAUCCCUCCCGGUCAACUGUUCUAUGUAUUAGUUGACUGGGAGGGA
rnacentral:miRNA from 1 species